AUGAUGGCGCCUGUGGUGACCGCCGCACUGGGUGCUUUGGGUCCUCUGCUAGCGAAGCUCGCUAAUUUGCUCGCCAAUGAGUGCGGACGCCUCAAAAUGGUCCGCCGCGAGAUCUGGUCCCUCAAGGCUGAGCUUGCCGGCAUGCAUGGUGCUCUGACGAAGUACACCAGGCUAGAGAAUCCCGAUGAGCAGGUGAAGAUAUGGGUUUCGCUGGUCAGGGAGCUGUCCUACGAUACCNNNGAUUGUUUUGACAAGUUCAUCCACCAGCUCGGCGAUGGUGGGGGUGAUGACGGCGGCUUCAAGGAGAUCUUCCGCAAGAUGGCUCGCCGUCUCAAAACCCUUGGAGCUCGGCAUGGGAUCGCCAGCCAAAUCGACGACCUGAAGCUUCGUAUCAAGCAAGUCAAAGAGCUGAAGACUAGCUACAAGCUGGAUGAUGUUGCUUCUAGCACCACGGGCCAUGCGACCGUGGAUCCCCGGUUGGCCGCUCUUUUUGCUGAGGAGGCACACCUUGUCGGAAUUGAUGGUCCAAGGGACGACCUUGCCAAGUGGAUGAUGGAAGAAGAGAACAAGCAACGUCGCAGGGUACUGUCUAUUGUUGGGUUCGGUGGAUUGGGAAAGACAACAUUGGCGAAUGAAGUCUAUCGCAAGAUUCAAGGGCAUUUUGAUUGUCAUGCUCUUGUGUCGGUCUCCCAAAAGCCAGAUACAAAGAAAAUCAUCAAGGAUUUAAUCUCAUAUAUGUCUUGCAAUGCUGAAUUCACAAAGGAUUUGGAGAGUUGGGAUGAACAGAAAUCCAUUGGAAAGCUAAGAGAACUAUUACAAGAUAAAAGGUAUCUUGUCAUCAUUGAUGAUAUAUGGUCUACAUUAGCAUGGAAAGCAAUCAACUGUGCUUUUCCAGAGAAUGAUUCUUCAAGCAGAAUUAUAACUACAACACGCAUAUUAGAAGUAGCAAGAUCUUGUUGUCCAAAUCGUGCUGACCGGAUCUAUGAAAUGACACCUCUAAGCGACAUCCACUCUGAAAGACUAUUUUUUAACAGAAUCUUUGGUCCAGAUGACCGCUGCCCUGAUAUGCUUAUUGAAGUUUCAAAUACUAUCUUGAAAAAGUGUGGAGGCCUACCAUUGGCAAUUAUCAGUAUAACUGGUUUAUUAGCUAACAGACCACGUGUCAAAGAAGAGUGGGAGAAGGUAAAAAGAUCAAUUGGUUCUGACUUGAACGGAAACCAAAGUCUAGAGGGAAUGAAAAACAUACUGUCAUUGAGCUAUAAUGAUCUUCCACCAAACCUCAAGACUGUCUUGUUGCACUUAAGUAAUUUCCCCGAGGAUUAUGUGAUUGACAGAGAAAGGUUGGUGAGGCAAUGGAUUGCGGAAGGCUUUAUUUCUGAACAGCGUGGGAGGAGCUGUCAAGAGGUUGCAGAAAGUUAUUUUUACGAGCUUAUCAAUAAAAGCCUGGUCCAACCAGUGGACAUUCGUUAUGAUGGAAAGGUGCGGGCCUGUCGAGUUCAUGACAUGAUGCUCGAACUUAUCAUUUCGAAAUCGAUUGAAGAAAAUUUCAUCACGGUGGUGAACGGCAGUCAAACUGUUUGGGGAAAUUCUCAGUGUUCUAUUCGACGUUUAUCGAUCCAGGAUAUUGACCAGGAGCUUGCAUCUGUAUUGGCAAAGAAAGAUCUAAGCCAUGUCCGAUCUCUUAUAAUAACAUCAUCAGAUCGCAUGAAACACUUGCCCAGUCUUACUAAGUUUGAAACAUUACGUGUACUAGAUUUUCAAGGUUGCCGGGGCGUGGCACAAUAUGAUAUGGAUGGUAUGGAAAACCUGUUCCAGCUAAAGUACCUAAGUUUUAAUGGAACGGACAUAUCGGAGCUACCAUCUGGAGUUGUGAUGCUGCUUGAUCUAGAGACGCUGGAUUUAAGGGAUACAGAAAUCAGAGACUUUCCUGCCAGAAUUGUUCAGCUCACAAAACUACAACAUCUAUUCAGUGGCUCAACUGUGAGUAAGAUACCAACCGGGAUUGGGAAUAUGACAAACUUAAGGGAAAUCUCAGGCUUUAAUAUUACCAUCAGUUCAGCAGAUGCAGUGAAGGAGCUAGGGAGCCUGAUAAAUUUGAAGGUACUCCAUCUACUGUGCUGGCGUACCAGUGAAGAAUCUCCAAACUACAAGAGUAGUUCCGAGAUGUUACUCACUGCACUAUGCAAGCUUGGCAGCUACAAACUCCAGUCCAUGUGGAUAGGUGGUGGUAAUUCAUCUCUAUUCGAGUUACUAGAUUGUUGGGCUCCUCUUCCAGCUUGCCUCAAAAGAUUUGAGAUGGACACCCUGUACUGUUUAUCAAAACUGCCAAAGUGGAUUACUCCAGCGCUCACCAGUCUUGCAUGCCUGAACAUUAAUUUAAGUGUAAUAACAGAGGAGGUUCUUGGCAUACUUGGAGAGCUGCAUGUAUUACUUUGUCUGAAACUUUAUACCGACAAGGUCCAUAAAGACGUGCUAGUUUUGCAAGGCAGAGGAUUCUCAUGUUUGAAGGAGCUCGUGUAUGAACCUUUUGGUGAAGGUGCAGGGACCCUUCUGUUAGGAAGGGGCAUUGCCAAAGCUUGA
rnacentral:rRNA from 1 species